rnacentral:lncRNA from 1 species
GAAAAUACUUCCCAGGGUAAUGUCACCAGAGGUGCUCCGUUACAAAAUUGCUCCAGGGGACACAGAGGAAGCUGCUGGCUACUCAGUGCUGCUGUAGGAGCUGGGGACAGGGGAAGCCCCAGGCACCACGGAAACCUGGUGCUGGAGAAGUCAUGUGAGGUGCCAGAGGUGGAAUCGGAAGGGAGAGCUCCUUGCCCCUGCUGUGUCUCUCUAGCACCCUCUACUCACAAAGCGUGGUAUCAUGCCAGCUGGCCAAGGAAACAUUGUUAAAGGAUUCUACAAUUUCCCAGAACAGGCAAUUAAGGGUGAAUUUGGAGCUGAGAAGCAAGAGAUUGAUCACGGGCACAGCAGGACUCAGGGCUGCACUGAAUCUGAGAUCUUCGUCACGCUCGGAUGGGGAAACUGAGUCCUGGGGAUCUUUGUCCCAAAUCUCACGGUUACUGAACGGCUACGUUGGAACUAGAUGCAAGGUCUUGCAAUUUUCUCUAAAUUUUCUACAUGGCCACCUCAAAAAGAAAGCAUGCUGCACCUUUCAUUUUCUGGUGCAAAGCAGAAGAAAUGCGGAAGGAAGAGAAGGAGAAAGAAUCAAGUAA